UUAAAUUUUUGAUUAAGGUCCCUUUAGGGGAAGAGCAGUAGCCUCCAUUAGACAGGAUCCAGGAAGCGGGGAGCUGGCAUGGCAGCAACAGCCCAUGCCAGAGUCUGAAUGGCUCAGAGGUCAAGAGGUUACUACAAAGCAGGCCUACGGGGGCUGGUCAAGGUCACCCAGCAGCAGAGUGAGGAACAGAGCCUGCAAUCCUGACAGCAAGUCCCCUGCCCUGACCACUAACUCCUACAGCUGUAAAAUAACCCCGCAGCACGGGAGCCAGACCUCAACUGUGCUGCAGUUACAGGCUCAUCCUGACAAAUCUGCUGAGUCAGACCCUCCUGUCAAGAUUAAUUACCCUCGUUAUUCCUGCCCUUGUCAUAACACUGCCUCCCUGUAAGAGAGAUGAGUGUCUACCGCCUCACUCUUCAAACAGGCUCUCUGUAGUGAUUGUAGAGCCCCGCCAGCCCUAUUUUCAUCUGACUCCUCUUCAAGGCUGAUUUACAGAUGAUAAUUACUGCUCCCGGGUAACAGGAGAACACCAGAUAAAUCAUGCUUGACUACUGGGGAAGAGGACCCCGACCUGGGAAGUCACAGGAAAGGGGAAAGGCCUCACUACUUGUUUUGGGGUUUAGGAACGUAUAAACACUGGCCACAGGCUCCAGCUGUGAUGGACAAGCUUCUGGGACCCAGCAUGGUGACAAACAUGGGAUUCCCGUCCCAACAAGGGAAUGGACUACUACAAACUGCUAGGAACUCCUACUACAAAUUGCUUGCAGACACGUCCUUCACAGGGCAGAUCUGGUGAGCCCCAGCCUGUUCCUUACCUAUGUUCAACAACAAGAGACACCUUUUAGCUUCUCUGUGGCUUGUUGCCUCAUAGCUCCCUGUGGGAAGUAGCUUUUCAACAAAUCUGGCAGAAGUGUCUCCGAUCCUAGACAAGAAUGCUCCCUAUGUCAAACAGGCUCUGGACGGUGCUUCCCCCAGCUCUGCUGAACAAUGUGCAUAUGGGAGGGAUGCAGUCGUGCCUCUCUGAGCCUUCAGCAAUGCUGACUCCAUCGUGGGGCCAGAUCCUGUCUUUCUGCUGAACUCGUCACACCAGCCUUCAUACUUGCUCCCGCCGUGUUGUGAACACAGGGUGAUAGGCCUAGGAGGGGCCUCCCUGGACACUGAAUCUGGGACCCUACAUUAUCAGGCAACUGUUUACCCAGAAAGUUCUCCAAAUCAUCCAACCUGACACUUCAUGCAUCACAGCCAUGUGUGAUGGUUUUGUUUCUUUGUGGAAAUGUAACCAAAAGCACACUACCUCCUGCCACAGAGUAAAAGUCGGGCAGGUGAAAGCAACAUCCAUGCCCUGUCAUUGCAGUGGUAAAGAAGUAAUUGGUUCAUAAAGAGCUGUCCAACCGGUGGCCCAUGGGGUGCAGUCUUGAGGCAGCCCGUGGGCUCCCACCUGGCCGCUACUCCCCCCAUUGCUCCUGCCAUUGCAGCAGCUGGGGGCUCCAGUCUCCUGCUCCUUCUUUCAGUUUCUGCUUCCUGGCCCUGCCCCUGGGGGUGCGGCAGAAUGACAGGAGAGAGCCUGGGAAGUCUGCAGCCUGCAUGCUGGGGGAGAAGGCUUGUGUCAAUGUGAUGAUGCUCUCUGUGGGGUAGAGGGCCUGUGCUGCUUGUGUUGUGCUGUGGGCUGCACUACCAACAUGGAAGUGUGGAUGUCCUGAGGAGCCCACCAUUGCAGCAUGUGGCCCAUGUGGCAUGCAGUCCCAGCCACUCAGAAACUGGACAACGCUGGGUUUCUAUACGCUCAAAGGUUCCUUUGGAGAGGACCCUGCCCCGCACUACUGAGGAAGGUGAAAACCUCCACAGUCUCUGUCAAUCUGGCCUGGGGGAAAAAAUUCUGUCUUGACCCUAAAAAUUGGUGACGCCCCAGUGUCCUCCAGAUGCCCUUUCUUCUGUAGCACCCUGGAUGGAUGAAUGGUGGGUUAAGACUAAUAGGAUCCUGAGGGCAUGUUUUGAUUAUAACCUGUUUUACAGAGAUGCUCACAGAAGUAUACCACGUUGGUACCAGUGGGCCAUCCUCCCAUUUAGCAUCCUCAGCUGAAUGACAUCUGGUUCCUCAUGGGCUGCCCUGCCUCAAGACUCUAAUUAGGGAGACAGAGGCAGACACCAAGCUUGUGUGCUGGUUAUCACAGUUCCCCCAAAGAAGCCGCAUCACAAAAUCAAACAAGAACAUGGUGCUGUUUCAAAGACCAAACAAUGUGCACCCCUUCAAGGAAAUGAGCUCUCUACACCAUCACCGAGUGCAGAAUCCAGCUCAAGGUGUGAAGGAUUGUCAUAAAUACUCUGGAUUCCCCCUCCAGAGACAGGUGGAUUUUUUAAACCGUGGUUUCUCAGUCUUCCAGGACUUGUUUGGAAUGGUUUCCAUUGUGCAGUUUAGCAUCCAACCCUUUUGUUUGUUUUAUAUUAAAAGCCUUUGGCCUGAAACAAAGCAGAUCAUGAAAUGAACACCAUCUGGCAAAAACCUCUCCAGCUUGUUCUACCAAAGCUCACCUGACGAUGGGAUUAGAGGUGAGAAAACAGGGAUUGUUCUUGGAGAGAGCCCAUGCUGGCACACAGUUCUGCAUUCCUUGCCGUGGGAAUCCUCCAGAUGGGCAAAUCCCUUUUCCCAGAUCAAUCAAGUUUGGUUUUCAGCCUCUAAAGAGGCAUUCCAAGUGAAAAAAGGAGCUGAUAUGUGAGAAGGAGCUGCGUGAAGGAUGGUAGACUCGCUGUCGGAGUUUUGCAGGUGGAAUCCUUCUGUAAUUUUAUAUUGUCUAGCUAAGAAGAGCAAAGGAAAUAUUAAUUCCUUUAGUGUUGUCUGAAAGCUCUGCCCCCUCUCCCCUCCCAAACAGCUUCCUUUCUCAGGAAGCCUCUAAUUCAAAGAGGCAAAUGUGUAUUGCACAGACUGGGAGAAAUGUUGGGUGCCACAGGUCUAAAAGGAACGGUGAGCAGAGUGGAGAGAGGCAAAAGAAGAGGUCUGCAUCAUUGUCUUGUAGGGUAUAUCCUGCUGCACAGGGCCGGAUAGCCACGUGGGUCACUGAUGAGCCCUGGCUACCAGCCACCUCAUGGAUAUUCUAUGUCAUAUGAUUUGGUUAUACUUAGAGAGGCUGCUAGGGUAAUUCCAGCCAGGAAAGUGCUACAGCACCAGACAGCAUGCUGCAAUGUCUGUCUAAAGUACCCAUGCCACUGUGCUAGCCUUGGGAGUGAGUGCUAGAGUACCAGACAGGGAUGUCUCAACCACAUUAGAUCAGAGUCCAUACUCAAAGGGUGCAUCUACACAUUCAUUAAUUCACCAUAAUUAUGGUGCAUUAAGUUUAGUACCUAAAACAGCAGGUACUAACUUAAUGUACUGGAAUUGGCGCUGCUGCUCAGUAGUGCUGGCACACGGGUUUUUUGUGAUGCUAAUAUGCAGUAGACUAAUUCUACUGUGCAUUAGUGCACCAGCAAAGCUUUUGCUGUGACGUGCUAAUGCACUGUAGAAUUAGUCUACCGCACAUUUAGCGACUUGUAUAGGUAUGCCCACUGUAUACCAAGUGAAAUAUGAAAUAUGAGUACUGUAGACCCAGCCAUGAGUGUGCCUACAGUGUGUACAUGUGUGAAUCACAGUGCUAGGCAAGUGUGUCUGUGAGCAAGCAGUGUUCUUCCUCACCCCCCGUUGUGUUGUUGGAUCACGCUCACUUCCGCCUCUUCCUCCCACUCACCUGCUACACCGUGAUGGAAAAUUGAUAUUCUGGAGGAUGGAUGUCUCUUGGCUUACAAGUCAGUCUGACCAGAUUGCUGAUCUUCUGCAGGGCUCCACCUCCCUGACACCCUACCCCUUUCCUCUUGGGUUGAUGGCCAUAAUUCCUCAACGAUGGCGAGUGGACAGUACCCUGUGAAUUAACCUCUCAGCCUUUUCCAAGUCUUGAACUUGCAGCAUCUAGAUUUUCUCUUAAGUUGGUCCAAUCUCUAUGUGACUACAAUAGUCCAAUUAAACAAGGAUCAAUUCAAUUAACUCAUUCAGAUUUCUUCCCAGCCUGUCCCCAGGACUCCUUGCCCUGGUUUCUUUGAAUGUUCCCUAGGGCUGGGUAUAUUGUCAUGCUUAACUGUAAAUCAAAUCUUUGGGGAAUUACUCCCCCAUAUUUUGGUCCUUCUCUCAUCUGGAGAAAAGAAAAGGGAGAGCAUCUUGCCCUUGGCCCUCAAUUUCUUCCUUUCUUUCACAAAAAAAAUUAAAAGAGAAUCAUUCAGGUUUCUUUUCCCUUCUGCAUGGCACUCUGUCACUGUCUUCUGGUUUCUGCUUAGUUUCUUUCUUUUUCCCACUGACAGGCCAGGAAUAACCCUUCCCUUGUCCUAGCUGCCUCAGUUUUCUUCCAGGCCCCCACUUUUCCUGGUAGACCUGUUCUCUCUCUCUCUUUCUCUCUUCUAUUAUUCUUUUUGGCUGGUCUUCACCAACUGUUUCCCCACAAGUGUACUUCCUGCUGGGUCUCUGCUUGAGGCUUCUACAGGGACGACCCCUUGUUUGUAUUUACAUAUCUUUUGGGGACAGUGUAAGUGAUCCUGGCUCAUGGUCUGUCUUGGUCCCAGUGGUUCACAACGGUCAGGUGUACAGAGGCUUCUUCUUGUGUUUUUUCCCUUCCAGCCAUUGUUUGUGGUGGUUUCCAUCCUGGAGAAUGCCGAAUGCUGAGCCCUUCCUCAUCUUCCUCCUUUAAACUUCCCAUUUCUCCUCUCAUGCCUGUUGGAGAUGGCUCUCUGGACCACAUGUCCUGUGCUCCUGGGGCCUGCUUACUGCCCUGCUUUGUCCUGGACCAUCAUUCUCCAUUCAACAAGGAUGGGCCACUCACCCGGACCCAGUCUGGUAAGUUCCUGGCCAGCAUGGCUUGUCCCAUGGGAGCAUAGCAUGGUUGGGACCCUUGAUACAGUGUCCCACAAGAAGUGCCUAGAAACCUAUGCUGUCCAAGAGCGUGCCAUGAAGGUAGCCAAGGAGCUGCCUCUGUUCCAAACAGUCUGACCACUGGGAAGCACUGGGUGCCCAUACUAAAUGCUUCAAAAAAGAGCAAAAUAAAUCUCUGGCCCGCAGGCUCUCUAAAGGGGUUUCUGGCCUGCCUACCCUGUCACAGGACCCUGCUGACUUUGUGCGGUGAGAGCACUUUAACUAAAGCUCGUUGAAUGAGCUUUCAUUAAAGCGCCCCACUGCCAUUUUGAAGAGCGGGAAUGCUGAUACACGAGACGUGGAGGUUUCUGAAGCUUGCUAAUUAGUUCCAGCAGACUUGAUUAUUCCAGCAGACUUGCUACACUCAGACCUGAUUCCAGCAGACUUGAUUAUUUGAGUCUGCUCCAAUGUCCUUUCAUUACAGUGCUUCGAAGCAGCCUCCCAGCACAUUUACAGGCACCCUAAGUCACUUGUGCUGGAGACCUAGUCUUUCAAUAGAUAAGACCUUGUGUUCAAUAGAUAAGACCCCCAGGCCCUCUGACUGGCUCUCAAAGCACAUUACAACACAAGUGAAACUAUCCCCCUUCUUGCUACCACAGAAGCAGGUGCCAUUUUCUUUGUAGUGCCGUUCUUUGACUGGUCUGUCGUGGGGGUCGGGGAGGAGAGCCGGGCAGCUCUGAGGAGUUGUUCUCGUACUGAAUUGUAUUUACAAUAGUGGCCUCAAUGUCAAGGGCCCUGUCUCCUGCUCCUGGACCAUGCUCUGAGUCUGCACAACAUGAAGCAGCAAGUGUGGGGGGUGGCCCUGCUUUGGGAAGUGCAAUGUGAGGGACAGAGAGACACAUGCUGCCAUAGGGUGGGCUGUCUAGCAUUGUUAUCUAGUCCUCCCUAGUCAGUGUGGAGUACCAGGACUCUGUGAUCACUCCAUGGCCUCUUGUCCCAUAUAAGUCCCCUGGAAGAGAAACUGGAAGCCAGUAAGGAACUCAUUGAUCCAACAGAACUGGAGCUGCUGAGAGACAGAGCUUCUUUGUCAAGACUGGUCUAAGGACAAUCUAAUGAAUAUAUGCAAAGAUAGCCUCAGCAGGAGGUUUUCUAUCCUGGAUCUUCCCUGCUGCCCAAGUUCCUCUUGCACUGCGGUGCCUCUGCCCAGCUCCCUGGCUGCUGCACAACUGCACAAUGUCCAGACAGAGAGGCUCCAGCCUGGUAUUUUCACCUUUGAGCUCUGCUAGAGGAUUCAUGGCAAUGACAUCACACAGGAGGCUCCUUUGGCUUGGCUGCUGCAGUAGUGUAGCUGUUAUGUAAAACUCACACUUUACUCCUGCUGCCUAUAUACACACAGGCACAAGAAGCGGGUAACAGAACAGAAGACUAGGAUCGAGCUCUAUCUUAACACUAGCAAAGUUUUUGCCUUUACAACUCCCACUGCAAGGCUGUACCAAGCACCAGUUCUUUGGUCAAAAUGUAUUCAUGGCUAGGUUUUCCCCACUUGUCUUUAUGUGAAUAUUGCUCUUUAGCAAAAUAACUCUUCUCCCUCCCAGGUGCUUGCUGUGCUGUGUGAUUUUGCACACCAGUGACAAUCCCUCUUGCCCUUUUCUUAUUAGGCUAAAUAAACCUAGGCCUUCUAGAUAGCUUCUCCAUUCCCUGCUUUUCUUACUGGCUCUUCUCUGUGCCCAUUCAGUCUGCAUUCAUCUUUCUUAAACAUGGAUAAGCAUAGUAUAUCAGAGUAUUUCUGGGGACAUUCACCAGUGCCUGGUAACAAUGACAUUAAUACUUCCUUAUCUCUACUGGAAAUACUUUACCUGUUACAUCCUAAUAUUGCAUUUGCCAUUGUCACAGUUGUAAUAAAUACAUUGAUGGCUCAUAGUCAUCAGUGGAUACACCUACAUGUUUCUCCUCCUUUGUCCUUUUCAACUAAGGUGCCCACAGCUCAAAGCAGAAAUUCUUAGCUUUAGCCCCUAUAUGCAAGACCAUGCACUUUCUAUUAUUAAAUUGUAUCUCCGUUAUUACCCAGUCCUUGAGAUCAUUUGAUCCUUCCUGUAUGGUAGCCCAAUCCUCUUCUGUAUUGACAAUGCCUUCCAGCUUUGUGCCAUCAGCAGAUUUCAUUACCGUAUUCCUAUGUUUUGUACCCACAUUAUUAAUAAAAAAAAUAAGAUUUCUCAAAAAACUGAUCCUUGAGGAAUUCUAUUAGUUACUUUUUAGUCAGCUUUACCUUUCUUAGGGUCUUGUUAUACAGUAAUUUUGGGUGGCUUCUGAAGCUCUUCAGGGUGCGCACAGUGGUGGGAGCCACAUCCCCUGGAAAAGCAGCUCGUGGGUCCAUCCUGUGCCCUGCCCAGGCUGUGCAGCACCUGCCCCAGCCCCACUCCCUCCCUCACCCCUGCUACAGCCACCAGAAGCUCAUGGCCAGGCUGCCUUGUGGCCCUAGCACUGCCCAGUGUUUGCGGGGUCUAAGCCCCAUUAUCCUCCCCCCUUCUGCCACCUAUGCCCUUCCCCCAUCUGCUUAUUUGUGACUACUCAUGCUGUCUGUCCCAGAGAAGCAGAAAGGGAAGGGUUAAUCUGUCUGUCCCACCAGCCCUGCUGUUACCGCUGUCUGGGCAGGCUCAGCCCAGAGAAGAGAAGCAGCCUGGCAACCAGGUUUAUCCUUCCCUACCUGCUCCCCUGGGACACACAGAGCAGGCAACCACAAGUAAGUAAUGCCCUGGGGAUGGGGGGAGGCAGGAGACAGGGGGUAACCCUGAAGGGUAGGGAGGGGAGACCUGGGUGUGGUGGUGGUGGGAGUAGGAACCAGGAAGACCCAGGGGGCAAGUGGCAUUCAGGCCCCUGCUGCCCUGACUGUGUGUCUGCUUUAAAUUCAAGCUAGUCUUAACAACCAUUAACACUUGUGUGGUUCACAAUGUAAUGUGUAACAAGGCCCUUACAGUUCCCAUGUCUCCCAUUUAACUAAAAGAUCCUUACGUGGCACCAUAUCAGAUGUGUAACUGAAGUCCAGGUAGAUUCAAUCUUCCACAUUCCCCUUGCCUAAAUAUUCAGUUAUUUUAUCAAAGAUGUCAGGUGAACCUGGCACGAUCUACCAUUGGAAAGCCCACAAUGCAUUUUCCCCUCAUUUUCCUGUUAGCUCCAUGCCUUCACUUUAUUCUAAAGCCUUGAGUACUGGUUAGGUCAGACUAUCAAGUCUUUAGUUGCCCAAUCAUUUUUUCACUUUUUUGAAUACAGAUGUAUUGUCUAUUCUCCAGUCAUGUAGUACCUGUGAUUUGAUAGGUUUACUGAGAAUCUUUGUGACCAGCCUUUACAUUUCAUGUGCAGUUUUCAACAGCUCUGUCCAGCUUGAGCUCUUGGUUGCCCAGUUGUAGGCUUGAGCCAUCCUGCCUUUGCUCCCUGUUCUACAUCAUCCCCCUGUUUGCAAAUUGAAGCAAAGUAUUCAUUAGGAAUUUGAUCCAACUCUAGGCUGUGCACAAGUAUAACUUGUAACCAUAUUAAAAAGGGAGCUGUCUCUAGUGGGAUGUAUAUAAGCUGCUGCUAUGAUAAUACAAGUUAGCUAAGUUGCUGUAACUUUAGUGGGGAGCAAAAUAAGGUUAAAAUUCCAAUGGUUUUGCAGGGGUUUGGGUUGUAGCUGUGUUGGUCUAAGGACAUAGGCAGACAAGGUUCCUUUGGUGAAUUUGAUAUCUUUUAUUAGACCAACCCAAAUGAUUGAAGAAUAGUUAUUAAGCAAGCUUUCGGGUUCAAAAACCCUUCGUCAGGCUAAGGAAGCUUCAGCGGUUGGUGUGUGCUCUUCCUGGAUGGAAUGAAAAGUAAACAAGCCAGGGGCUGGGCUGGGCUGGGGAUGGUUUUGCAACACUUGUAACUCCUCAAGAGCAGUCAGAUGUUCAUAUUACAUUGCAACAGCUUCUAUAAGUAUCCUUUGAUAUCAAUAGAAUAGAUAUUGACACUGUCCACCACCCCAUCCUCAUUAAAAAACUAGGCGACUGUGGUAUUGAUACCUACACAGUCAGAUGGAUAGCUAAUUGGCUGAAGGGUUGUACUCAGAGGGUGGUGGUGGACAGGUCAUAUUCAGCCUGGGGGGAAGUGGGCAGUGGAGUCCCCCAGGGCUCGGUCCUUGGGCCCGCACUGUUCAAUUUCUUUAUCAGCGACUUGGACGACGGGGUGGAAAGCAACCUGUUUAAAUUUGCUGAUGAUACCAAAAUUUGGGGUGAGGUGGGCACGCUAGUAGGGAGGUAAAGACUGCAGGAAGACCUGGAUAGGUUGCGAGGGUGGGCUAACAAAAACAGGAUGCGUUUCAAUACGGACAAGUGCAGGGUGCUGCACUUGGGCAGUAGUAACCAGCAGCACAUUUAUAAGAUGGGAAAAUCCCUUCUUGAGAGCACGGAGGCAGAAAGGGAUCUUGGAGUCAUCAUUGACUCCAAGAUGAACAUGGGCUGACAACGCAAGGUCACGGUCGGCAGGGCUAACCGGACCUUAUCGUGCAUCCACAGGUGCAUCUCAAGUCGGGCCAAGGAGGUGAUCCUCCCCCUCUACGUGACACUGGUCAGGCCACAGCUGGAGUACUGUGUCCAGUUCUGGGCACCCCACUACAAGAGGGAUGUGGACAACAUUGAGAGGUCCAGAGGAGGGCCACCCCCAUGAUCCGGGGACAGCAGGGCAGACCCUACACUGAGAGGCUACGGGACCUGAACCUGUUCAGCCUUCACAAGAGAAGGCUGAGGGGGGACCUUGUGACUGUCUAUAAACUCACUAGGGGGGACCAGAAGGGUUUGGGGGAGACCUUGUUUCCCCUAGCGUCCCCCAGGAUAACAAGGAAUAACGGCCACAAGUUUUUGGAGAGUAGGUUCAGAUUAGACAUCCGUAGGAACUACUUCACAGUUAGAGCAGCUAGGAUCUGGAACCAACUUCCAAGGGAAGUGGUACUGGCUCCUACCCUGGGGGUCUUUAAAAAGAGGCUUGAUGUCUACCUGGCUGGGGUCACUUGAGCCCAGUUUUCCUCCUGCCCAGGCAGGCGGUCAGACUUAAAGAUCUACAAGAUCCCUUCUGACCCUACUUCUAUGAUUCUAUGAUAUUUUCAUCUAUGUGCCCAGAUGAUCUUUAAUCUUGACCCCCUCAUCUCUGCAUAGCGACCCUCUUUCUUUCUUUGUUCAUGUUUGAUUUAUAUGUCUAAAGAACCUGUCCCUAUUUUUACUGUUCCAUUGCAAGGUCUAAGCCAGCUUGAUUUUUGACAAUUCUUCCCUCAUCCCUGCACACUGCAUCUCCAAUACAGCUUUCUUUGCUAAUGAUCGCCAUAUUCUGCCUCUUGUGGGCUUUCUGCUUAUAUUUAAUGUCCUUUUUGAAAUGGUUACUCAUCCAGUUCUGUCUGGAGCUCAUCCCUAUGAGUUUUUUCUUCUUCCUUAGGACAAUGAUUCCAGAUAGUUUUUCACGCCUUUGAUUUAAAGCAAUUCCACGCCUAUUAGACAUCCUACUCCCCGAGUCCUUCAGUCUAUCUGACUUCACUAGCUAGUUCCAUUUGUUUCAAAGUCUGCCCCUUAGUAAUGGAAAACCUUUGUUACAGAUCUGUUUUUGUUCAUCUUCCAAUUGAAUUCAAACUAAAUCAACUUACAAUCACUCACUCUAGGGUUAUUUUCUACAAUCAGAUCUUUCUAUGUUGUCUUUAUCACUUACCAAAACUGAAUCUAAAAUUGUGUCACACAUCAGCUGUCUGCACAAAUGAACCUUGUGUCUUCUAUAUAAAGUCAUAACCUAACAGAAUGCUGUUUGCACACAAAUAAACAUGCAUGCAUAUACUUACCUACUCUCCAUGCUACACACAUACAUUCAUGCAGGUAGAAACCCACACCUGCAAUCUGCAUAUGCACUCAUCACCCUUCCUGUCCACACAUAUGACCUAAUUCAAGUGAUUGCUGUUUACCCAUAAACAUGUACACCCCAUCAACUCAUUCUCAUGGGUGCCUGCCAUCACAAACCAAGUAGAUGCACAUGGCCAUCUAUGAUGUUUUGGGCUAUGUAGCAGGCUGCAGAUUUCAGGAUUUAGCAGGCAGCAUGUACCAGGGAUUGCAGCCCAGCUGAAGAUGCUAAGAAGGUGAUGGCUGCCUGGGAGGACUGGGAUAAAGGGCUGGCCAGAGGAAGUUAAAGCUGAGAUAGUGGAAGACAGAGGGAAAGAGGGAUCCCAGGUUAGCUGCUUCAACACUGAACCAGGGUACUUUUUCAGGGUCUGGGAAGAGACUCCAGGGGUUGGAAACUCUCUCAGAGGCUGGGGAAAUACCCCAGGGUUUGACUUAUUCCUUUAUUGUUUUGCAUUGUUUGUAUGUGCUCUGAUUUAUAGGGUUUGUUGUGUCCUUUGAGGCAAAUUUUCCCAAGACAAAUAAAGACUGUCAGAGAAACCUUA